rnacentral:rRNA from 1 species
GGGUUGUGAGGUUAAGCGACUAAGCGUACACGGUGGAUGCCCUGGCAGUCAGAGGCGAUGAAGGGCGUGCUAAUCUGCGAUAAGCGCCGGUAAGGUGAUAUGAACCGUUAUAACCGGCGAUACCCGAAUGGGGAAACCCAGUGUGUUUCGACACACUAUCAUUAACUGAAUCCAUAGGUUAAUGAGGCGAACCGGGGGAACUGAAACAUCUAAGUACCCCGAGGAAAAGAAAUCAACCGAGAUUCCCCCAGUAGCGGCGAGCGAACGGGGAGGAGCCCAGAGCCUGAAUCAGCAUGUGUGUUAGUGGAAGCGUCUGGAAAGGCGCGCGAUACAGGGUGACAGCCCCGUACACAAAAGCGCAUGUGCUGUGAGCUCGAUGAGUAGGGCGGGACACGUGGUAUCCUGUCUGAAUAUGGGGGGACCAUCCUCCAAGGCUAAAUACUCCUGACUGACCGAUAGUGAACCAGUACCGUGAGGGAAAGGCGAAAAGAACCCCGGCGAGGGGAGUGAAAAAGAACCUGAAACCGUGUACGUACAAGCAGUGGGAGCCCCACCACUAAGCCAGUGGUGAACUCCACAUACGCAUCCUUUGCUGAGGAUACGGUUAACGGAGCGAAAGCGACGUUCAACCUCAAAAGAAGCAGAGGGGGCUUAGUGGUGGGGUGACUGCGUACCUUUUGUAUAAUGGGUCAGCGACUUAUAUUCUGUAGCAAGGUUAACCGAAUAGGGGAGCCGGAGGGAAACCGAGUCUUAACCGGGCGUUAAGUUGCAGGGUAUAGACCCGAAACCCGGUGAUCUAGCCAUGGGCAGGUUGAAGGUUGGGUAACACUAACUGGAGGACCGAACCGACUAAUGUUGAAAAAUUAGCGGAUGACCUGUGGCUGGGGGUGAAAGGCCAAUCAAACCGGGAGAUAGCUGGUUCUCCCCGAAAGCUAUUUAGGUAGCGCCUCGUGAAUUCAUCUCCGGGGGUAGAGCACUGUUUCGGCUAGGGGGCCAUCCCGGCUUACCAACCCGAUGCAAACUGCGAAUA